rnacentral:lncRNA from 1 species
UCAUGGUUUUGAUUGCUAUUUCACAAUUCCCUAGGCCAGAAUCUUUUCUUUUUUGCUGCCAGGUUUUAUAUCUAUAUACGGUUCAUUUAUUUUUCUAUGGCCAUGUUUGUUUUUUGUGGAAAUGCAAAAAGUUAUUCUGUUGGAAUCUGAUUAAAAGAAAAAAAUUAUGAAUGUUUCAAUAAAAGUAAUGUUAAGAGUUCAAAUGAGAACUUUAAAGGUUGAAGAAGUUUUGCAAAGCAGUCAUUGCAUUGGCCAUUGACUUAUUCCCCUUAGAAAGGCU